UACGUAGGGUGCAAGCGUUGUCCGGAAUUAUUGGGCGUAAAGAGCUCGUAGGCGGCUUGUCGCGUCGUUCGUGAAAACCUGCAGCUCAACUGCAGGCUUGCGGUCGAUACGGGCAGGCUAGAGUUCGGUAGGGGAGACUGGAAUUCCUGGUGUGAGCGGUGAAAUGCGCAGAUAUCAGGAGGAACACCGGUGGCGAAGGCGGGUCUCU
rnacentral:rRNA from 1 species